rnacentral:tRNA from 1 species
ACCUGGUCGUCGAGGCCUACGACUACGGCUCGGGGCCGAUUCAGUUCGACGUGACCCUCAGCGGCCGGCUGUUCGAGACGGUCGCCGGGUG